AUCUCAUGUUCACGUACGAUCACUGAAAUUAAGUAACAUCGGGCCUCGUCAGUACUUGGAUGGAUGACCGCUUGGCAAUAACAGGUGUUGUAA